AAUAUCUCUGCCUCCACGUUUUCUCUCUCCCUCCCAAACCUUAUCCUCUCCCGUCCUAACCUUCCUGGCGACGGCGAAGGCGACGGAUACCGGAAGAAGCGGCGGCAGAGUGGGAAGCCAGCGGUGGGGAACGAAGAGCCCUCUCCACAGGGACGGCGCAGGAGCGCAGCAGGGGCCGACGUGGCAGGGCGGCGCGGGCGACCUCGGUUACUCCGGCGAGGACGGCGCGGUCCUGCAGGAGUGUUGAAGGACGGCCAACGGGGGCGGUGCGGGUGAGCUCCUCCAGGGCGGCGCGGUCGAACUCCGCCAUGGCGAGCUCCGGCAGAGAGAGCUACGACUUGGGAUAGGCAGCAACACCUCAGCCUGCUCGGCCCUAGGCCGACAACAACCACGUGCGGCCGCGGGCGAGGAUUCGCUGCUCAACCGCACCCUUUUUCGCUGGGCAGGGGAGCAGAAGGCAGGCACGAGCAUGCGGGCGCAGCGCCGCCGUCCGCCGCCGUCGCCGUCGCCCGGACACAGCGGGAGCAGCGCCGCCAUCCGCCGCCUCCCUGGGCCACCGAUGCCCUGCCGCUUCUGUCCUCACCUCUGCCUCGAGUUCGUCUUCUGUUCACGGUGGCUCGUGUCAUGGUGGUCCGCGGUAACCUCAUCAUCCCUUGGUAUACAACUUCCCUGUUUUUCUUUCCCCAACCCUGACAUUCCUCUCUCCCUAAGAUCUACAUGUUUGUUUAUUAUGAGAUUGCAGUUUUGUUUGUGUGAAGAAGCUGCUUCUGCAAAUGACUGUGGCAAAGACUACCCAUGCAAGAUGACCAUGUGUGUGUAUCUUUUAUUCAGGUUCAUCUUCAUUUUCUCUGUUCAGUGCGUAUAUUGUUGCUUGUAUCAGUAUGCUCAGGUUGUAGUUUAACAUCAGAAAUGAAGGCAUGCCAUAGUUUUUCUAAAAAUAUCACGUUACUAAGAUCCAUUAAAGAUAAUGAUUAGAGAAUUAAUUUACCUCUUGCCAGCCUCUGAAAAAUAUUUGAUUGUAUGUCUUUAUUGCUGCUGCUUCGUCAUUGCCAUUGCUGCGAUAAGCAUUGCCUCACGCUCAUGCUGUUGUCGUUGGGAGAAGCAUCGCCUCGCGUUGUUGAGCCCGCAGGCAUGCCUAGAUUUCUUCAUUCAUGGCUUGCAUCGGUCCAAAAGUGCUAGAGGGGUUGCAAAGGAGAUUGCGGUGAAGUCCUGCAAUGCUCUUCUCCUCAAGUGUACUUGAGGCUGUGAGAAUAUCAAUACUGGUUGGCUGUGGUGUGAUGACCAGUCACCGGAGGUAGAUUUCAGGGUCACCUUCUUGUGAUCUCUUGUUGCUACAUGAAAUUGAGAGGGAUAGAAUUUUUUAUCUCUUUUGUGGAAAAUAGGAUAUGGGCUUGAAAUUUGUAGUUAUGCUUGUCCCUUAUGUACAAUGCAUAUUGCCGAUUAAGUGUUAUGUGUAGCUAGGAUUUAUGCGAGUCGUGCUAGAGAAAGGAAGUUGUGCCACAAACAAAAACAGUACAUCUUCAUAUGGUUCCUGGUAGGAUUCAAUUGCUGGUACUUAUAUGCAACUGUUCUGUAUUACUAAAUGUUCUUGGACUUUAAAUAUACUUGGACUUGAUUCUGUCCGUGCAGUCCGUCUAAUAUACUAACUAACCUACCUAUUACAUAAAGGCAAAAGAAAGCUUUAUCCUCUCAUCCUUUUGGUUUACUUGGCUCAAUACCUCUAUUAUAAUGCUUUAAAGUAAUUUUCUUGACUUUACAAUAUUCGAGAAGAAGUCAGAUGGCAAGGCCUGCUCGUAUUGCAUAUCUUUGUUUCUUGUAUACUGUUUUGCAUCAUGUGUCAAGCCAGUGGUCAGUUUUUGGCGUUUGUUCUUAUGAUUGUUUCCAUUUUUAAGGGCAAGUGAAAUACUAAAAUUAGAACACGUCAUCAGAAAUAUAUUGAAAUGCUAAUCUGUAAUAUUAAGUACAAUAUUAUUUAGGAUGCUCCAGGUAUACUAGCCAUGAUUCUGCGAGGAGAAGUAAUUACCUUUAUUGUUGAUCUGUUAACUUGUUCAUACCAUUUUUAAUCCAUGUUCAGAUGCCGUCUAGGAUUUGCUAGAAACAAUAAACCGUGGCUUGGGUCCAACUAAGUUGGUUUAGAGGGUAUAUAGUGUGUAACAAUUUGUGCUGAGGUGAGUAGAUGCUUGACCACAAAUUAUGAACUUAACCUUUUUUAGAGUGUUGAGAAGUUGUUACAGAGCAUUGUCACUACCGACCAUAUUGAUUAAUUUUGCAUGAGCAUAUUUAAGUCACCAAGAGCAAGCUACUUCAGGGAUGUAUUAAUAAAGUAUUGUCACUGUAUAGUCAGGUUAUUUUAUAUUGGUUGGAUGAGAUUUGUUUCUAAUCUAUACUCAACAGUCAGGACUGCAAAAGUUUAUCCUACCUUUCUAAUCAAAACUCAAGAGUCAAACAACAUAAAUCUUAUAUAUAUUAUGUGUGUCCGAUCAAAUGGUAGCAUUGUGUUUCCUUUUUUCCCUUUGCAUCCUGUUAUUUAAAAAGAUUAUUGUAGUAUUGUUUCUUCUUUUUUGUUUGAGGAUGUAGCCCCUAGCUAACUAAAACCAUUAGUCACCGUCUGGUUUACAGAGUGCUAAAAAUGAGAAUUCGUCCUCAUUCUUGUAAUAUUGAUUGAACUUUUUAUACAUCUCUAACUAGCAAUACGGUAAAUAGCUAUAUUUUUUAUUCCUCAAGGCAUAUAUGGCCAAUAGCUAUAUUUAUUCAAUAUCAGUUUAGAAAUUCUUCUGGCUUCUCUCUGGCUUCUUCAAGACAGUUUGGGUGUUUCUGUUCCCAAUCCUCUAUAUUGUCGUGGCCAUCAUAUUUGCUGAGGUUGUGCAUACCCGCAAUCUUGGACUGCUGAUCCAUGGCCUUACUGAUUAUGAUUCAAGCAAGCGCCUUCUCCUUCACCGUCGUGUUGCUGCUAGCCAUCUCAGUCUAUACUGCAUUCAUGUAUCACAUGCUAAGGCGCAAUGGCCAUACCUGCAAAUAUGGUAUUUUCCUUACUUAUCCCAUGUGAAAGUUCUUGGUUAUUAGGGCCAGUGUUGAUGCCAAGUGGUUAGAUAAUGGUACCUAAAGAGGUAGUUUGAUUUGGUCCAAGCAGAAUUAACUUCAUAUGCUUUUAAUGUUGUGAAACAUGAAUCCAUAUAUACUGCUCAUGGCCGAGUUCUCGGUAGACGUAGCAGCGCAGCCAUUGCAGGCGCUCAACAUUGUAUUGCAUAACAUCAUGGAAUAACAACUUUCCUUGCCUUUUUAUUUGUUACUUUGCUUUCUUAUUUCGAAUAGAAAUUUAUACUAUUUCUGUGUACUUAUGCAGGUACUCUGGCUUGGUAAGCCAAUCCUUAUUGUGGAAGAUUGUGAAACCCAUGAAAGUAUGCAUGGGUAUCCGAGGAUCGGCUGGGUUUUACCAGCGUACCUAUGCAAAGUGAAUUUCACCAUCUUCAUCAAGCUGGAUACAUCAAGGAUCUACAAUAUGUGUCCAACACUUGCUCCCAGUUUUGUAAGUUGAUGAUUAUCACACUUCUAAUAUUUGGUAUAUAUAAUAUACACUCUACUCCUUGAAUUAAAAAAUGUGGAAAUGCAUUACAUGCCUAAUAGCAACUAGAGAAGAGGCACAGUUAAAUGUUCAGACAUUUCUACUUGAAUCCAUCUGUUCUUUACUGUUAGGUUUAAUAUUUAACUUGCUUCACCUGAUGCUGUGCUUUUCUGCAAAACAUGAUGUAGUGAUUCAGGUAUUUGGCUGUUUAUUACUGAACUUCGGUACUGUUUAUUGAACAUUCACAUAGGGUAUUCUAUAAAUUAUAUUCCAUGAAAAUUCAGAUUUUGCAAAUGGUUUUAUGGUUUCCUUAGUUGACUUGCUUGCUGGCAAUUAUAGGAAAUAUAUGUGUUUCAGGAUUAAGUAUACUUUGCAGAUGCACGAGACAGGACAUUUAUUUCGACGGUUCUAUUUUUACAUUGCCUAGGAUCUUAUUAUGUCUGCUAUGAUGUUGCCUCUGGAAUAUUUUGAUGCUUUCAAGCUGCAAAUAUACUUUUAUGGGCUUAUCUUCUAAUUCUACUGUAGGUACCUGGUCCGUAGGUUCCUCGACAGGUAACUGUCCGGUGGAAAGACGUUGGGAUGAAGUAGUCGAGAAAGGUAUGAAGUCACGUUGCAGCCAUGGAUUCUCCGCCCCAUGUUUCUCUGCAGCGCAUCGGGAUGAUGUCUUCGCCUUCGUCACACCACAGGUUGCAGGUGUGUGCAUAAGCCGUUUGUGUAAAUGCAUAAAGGCAAAGAUUGCUCCGGGAAGAAAUGUUAACACCUCAACUUGGAUUUGUAAGUUGUGUGUUCUCUCAGAUGCAUUCCUCUUGAUGAUUUACAUGAGUUUCAACAUGGAUUUCUUAGUUUAUAUUAAUCACAUGUUCUCCUAUUGUCAUGAACUUCAGGAAAUGAAACCUUUUUGUACAUUCUAAUUCUUUUUAUCAGUGAUGAUGAAGUGGAAUAUUUUAUUAUUAACAAGGUUGGACUUCAGGAAAUGAAACCUUUUUGUUCUCUCAGAUAGUGGACUACAAGGUUGGACAUAUUUAAUAAACUUUCAUAGUCAGGUAUCUCAACUUCAAGAAUUUGUUCGCCAAAUUAUUCUUAUGUUCGAUAUGCUGUGUGGUACUGGUUGUAGAUGAAGUUUUUUUUUAAUUUGCACGAUCUCCAGUAUGCAACUCUUACCUUUCUAUAUGACUAUGUAAGUAAUAUAUUAAAAAUAUAUAAUGGUACCAUCACCAUCUACCUGAUCGGUAGUUUUUGCAUUACCUUCAUGGUGUGGAGUCCCUGAUCAAGGCCAUGGCGCCGUGGAGCUCAUGCUUAAGAGAGAAUGCUAUACCUGUGUUGCAUAGAAAACCGAUUCCUUCACUGGAGGAAUGAGCGCUUGAGGAGCUCCUCUUCACUAGCAACAAGAUGGAUAUAUUUUUCACUCAUUGCAGUACACAGUACCACACAUGUCUUUUGAAGAAGCCAAUUCUUCUUGCCAUAUAAUAAGUGGGAAUACUGCACUCUUACUCCAAUGGCAGCAAAUUUUCUCGAAAACUCCAAUGGCAGAAAAAAUGCAAGCUGGAACAGGCUGAUGCUAUGAGCAUUAGAUGUUUUAGCUACGACGCACCAGGGAAAAAAAUAGAAUGUGCUUUUACACCAAUUGGAGGUGUCUCGAGAAAAUAGAGAAAUUCUAUCUGUUUUGUAUAUGCGAUAAAUUGGAAGUUCUUGCUAACCCUUUCUUUGGGUGAAAGUUUUGUUGAAAAUAAAGAAAUUGUAUCCCUUUUUUCCGUAUACAAUGACAGUGAAAGGUACAUAAUAGAAGAAUUGCAUUUCUAUGCCA